CGGCAGCACAGUAAGAGCUUGCUCUUAUGGGUGGCGAGUGGCGGACGGGUGAGGAAUACAUCGGAAUCUACUUUUUCCUGGGGGAUAACGUAGGGAAACUUACGCUAAUACCGCAUACGACCUACGGGUGAAAGCAGGGGACCUUCCGGCCUUGCGCGAUUGAAUGAGCCCAUGKCCGAUUAGCUAGUUGGCGGGGUAAAGGCCCCCCAAGGCGACGAUCCGUAGCUGGUCUGAGAGGAUGAUCAGCCACACUGGAACUGAGACACGGUCCAGACUCCUACGGGAGGCAGCAGUGGGGAAUAUUGGACAAUGGGCGCAAGCCUGAUCCCGCCAUACCGCGUGGGUGAAGAAGGCCUUCGGGUUGUAAAGCCCUUUUGUUGGGAAAGAAAUCCAGCCGGCUAAUACCUGGUUGGGAUGACGGUACCCAAAGAAUAAGCACCGGCUAACUUCGUGCCAGCAGCCGCGGUAAUACGAAGGGUGCAAGCGUUACUCGGAAUUACUGGGCGUAAAGCGUGCGUAGGUGGUUGUUUAAGUCUGUUGUGAAAGCCCUGGGCUCAACCUGGGAACUGCAGUGGAAACUGGACAACUAGAGUGUGGUAGAGGGUAGCGGAAUUCCCGGUGUAGCAGUGAAAUGCGUAGAGAUCGGGAGGAACAUCCAUGGCGAAGGCAGCUACCUGGACCAACACUGACACUGAGGCACGAAAGCGUGGGGAGCCAACAGGAUUAGAUACCCUGGUAGUCC
rnacentral:rRNA from 1 species